UCGAACGAGAAAGUGGAGCAAUCCAUGAGUACAGUGGCGACCGGGUGAGUAACACGUGACUAACCUACCUCCGAGUGGGGAAUAACUCCGGGAAACCGGGGCUAAUACCGCAUAACAUCGCAAGAUCAAAGCAGCAAUGCGCUUGGAGAGGGGGUCGCGGCUGAUUAGCUAGUUGGCGGGGUAACGGCCCACCAAGGCGAAGAUCGGUAUCCGGCCUGAGAGGGCGCACGGACACACUGGAACUGAAACACGGUCCAGACUCCUACGGGAGGCAGCAGUGGGGAAUUUUGCGCAAUGGGGGAAACCCUGACGCAGCGACGCCGCGUGGAGGAUGAAGCCCUUUGGGGCGUAAACUCCUUUCGACCAAGACGAUAAUGACGGUACUGGUGGAAGAAGCACCGGCUAACUCUGUGCCAGCAGCCGCGGUAAUACAGAGGGUGCGAGCGUUGUUCGGAAUUAUUGGGCGUAAAGGGCGCGUAGGCGGUGCGGUAAGUCACCUGUGAAAUCUCCCGGCUUAACUGGGAGCCUGCAGGCGAAACUGCCGUGCUGGAGUAUGGGAGAGGUGCGUGGAAUUCCCGGUGUAGCGGUGAAAUGCGUAGAUAUCGGGAGGAACACCUGUGGCGAAAGCGGCGCACUGGACCAUAACUGACGCUGAGGCGCGAAAGCUAGGGGAGCAAACAGGAUUAGAUACCCUGGUAGUCCUAGCCCUAAACGAUGAUUGCUUGGUGUAGCAGGUACCCAAUCCUGCUGUGCCGCAGCUAACGCGAUAAGCAAUCCGCCUGGGGAGUACGGUCGCAA
rnacentral:rRNA from 1 species